AGUACUAUGGCCGAGUGGUCUAAGGCGUCUGACUUAAGAUCAGAUCAUCGUAAGAUGGCGCGGGUUCAAACCCCGCUGGUACUA
rnacentral:tRNA from 1 species